UACGGAGGGUGCAAGCGUUAUCCGGAUUCACUGGGUUUAAAGGGUGCGUAGGCGGGUUAGUAAGUCCGUGGUGAAAUCUCUGAGCUUAACUCAGAAACUGCCGUGGAUACUAUUUGCCUUGAAUAUUGUGGAGGUGAGCGGAAUAUGUCAUGUAGCGGUGAAAUGCUUAGAUAUGACAUAGAACACCAAUUGCGAAGGCAGCUCACUACUCAAUCAUUGACGCUGAGGCACGAAAGCGUGGGGAUCAAACAGG
rnacentral:rRNA from 1 species